rnacentral:rRNA from 1 species
GACGAACGCUGGCGGCGCGCCUAACACAUGCAAGUCGAGCGAUGAAAUUUUAACCGAUCUCUUCGGAGAGAAGAUAAAAUGGAUUAGCGGCGGACGGGUGAGUAACACGUGAGAAACCUGCCUUUCACAAGGGGAUAGCCUCGGGAAACCGGGAUUAAUACCCUAUGACACAUUUCCUUCGCAUGGAAGAAAUGUUAAAACUCCGGUGGUGAAAGAUGGUCUCGCGCCUGAUUAGCUAGUUGGUGGGGUAACGGCCCACCAAGGCCAUGAUCAGUAACCGGGCUGAGAGGGUGAACGGUCACAUUGGAACUGAGACACGGUCCAAACUCCUACGGGAGGCAGCAGUGGGGAAUAUUGCACAAUGGAGGAAACUCUGAUGCAGCGACGCCGCGUGAGCGAUGAAGGCUUUCGAGUCGUAAAGCUCUGUCCUAUGGGAAGAUAAUGACGGUACCAGAGGAGGAAGCCCCGGCUAACUACGUG